UCCCUGAUGUUAGCGGCGGACGGGUGAGUAACACGUGGGUAACCUGCCUGUAAGACUGGGAUAACUCCGGGAAACCGGGGCUAAUACCGGAUGCUUGUUUGAACCGCAUGGUUCAAACAUAAAAGGUGGCUUCGGCUACCACUUACAGAUGGACCCGCGGCGCAUUAGCUAGUUGGUGAGGUAAUGGCUCACCAAGGCAACGAUGCGUAGCCGACCUGAGAGGGUGAUCGGCCACACUGGGACUGAGACACGGCCCAGACUCCUACGGGAGGCAGCAGUAGGGAAUCUUCCGCAAUGGACGAAAGUCUGACGGAGCAACGCCGCGUGAGUGAUGAAGGUUUUCGGAUCGUAAAGCUCUGUUGUUAGGGAAGAACAAGUACCGUUCGAAUAGGGCGGUACCUUGACGGUACCUAACCAGAAAGCCACGGCUAACUACGUGCCAGCAGCCGCGGUAAUACGUAGGUGGCAAGCGUUGUCCGGAAUUAUUGGGCGUAAAGGGCUCGCAGGCGGUUCCUUAAGUCUGAUGUGAAAGCCCCCGGCUCAACCGGGGAGGGUCAUUGGAAACUGGGGAACUUGAGUGCAGAAGAGGAGAGUGGAAUUCCACGUGUAGCGGUGAAAUGCGUAGAGAUGUGGAGGAACACCAGUGGCGAAGGCGACUCUCUGGUCUGUAACUGACGCUGAGGAGCGAAAGCGUGGGGAGCGAACAGGAUUAGAUACCCUGGUAGUCCACGCCGUAAACGAUGAGUGCUAAGUGUUAGGGGGUUUCCGCCCCUUAGUGCUGCAGCUAACGCAUUAAGCACUCCGCCUGGGGAGUACGGUCGCAAGACUGAAACUCAAAGGAAUUGACGGGGGCCCGCACAAGCG
rnacentral:rRNA from 1 species